GACCGGAUGGAUGGCGUGCCCGCACGCGCAGACAUCCGGUCAUUUGACAGGCAAGCCGAUAUGAGCAGGCAGGCCGACAGGCCGGACUGCGAAUGGCGGCGGCGAUUGCGGGAGCGCCGGCGGCGCGGAGCAAUCGGC
rnacentral:sRNA from 1 species